rnacentral:rRNA from 1 species
CGCGUGAGGGAGGGGCUCUUGGGUUGUAAACCUCUUUUCUGAGGGAAGAAAAAAAUGACGGUACCUCAGGAAUCAGCAUCGGCUAACUCCGUGCCAGCAGCCGCGGUAAUACGGAGGAUGCAAGCGUUAUCCGGAAUGAUUGGGCGUAAAGCGUCCGCAGGUGGCAUUUCAAGUCUGCGGUCAAAGGUCGAGGCUCAACCUCGAACAGGCCGUGGAAACUGAGAAGCUAGAGUGUGGUAGGGGCAGAGGGAAUUCCCAGUGUAGCGGUGAAAUGCGUAGAGAUUGGGAAGAACACCGGUGGCGAAAGCGCUCUGCUAGGCCAAGACUGACACUGAGGGACGAAAGCUAGGGGAGCGAAUGGGAUUAGAUACCCCCUAG